GUUCAAAGCUGGAAGAUGUGGGCUGCUAACUUUAAUCACAAGAUUUGAUUUGACCAGGGCAGUGACCAGUGCCUUUGCAAACAAAAAAUCAUUUGAUGACACCUAUAUGCCUCUUGUGAUUGAUUUGAACUCAAUAUCUUAUAUUUCCAAGUGAUCUUUUGUUCAGAGAAGAUGAAGAUUGUUAUACUACUUCUUGGUUGUGCUCUUUGCUUAUCAACAUGUUCUGGCCAAGAGCAAGAGGCUGUUCAGGAUGAUCAGCAAGCUGGUCAUGCAGAUGAAGCUAGUGGAAAUGUGGAAAAGGAAGCAGAUCAUGCCCCGCUCUCAGGUUUUACUGUGGAGGAUUCCAGCUGGAAGAUUGUCUGGCAUGGAAGCUCUGAUGUUGAUCUGCUGAAUGCCCCUGACAUGGAGUCAAUUUUGAUGCUGACCAAGGACAAUGAGCAGUACAACUGCCAAGUGGAGAGUGUGAAAAAGCCGAAUGAGGAGGAGGACGCGUCGUACGACGGCCCCAACCCUCUGCAGCUGAUGGAGCCUCUGUUCAACAAGCUGGCCUGCUCAUACAGGCUGGAGUCGUACUGGACGUACGAGGUGUGUCACGGCGACUACGUGCGCCAGUACCACGAGACCAAGGAGGGCAAGCAGACCAAGCUGAUCGAGUAUUACCUGGGCAGAUACAGCAAGGAGACGCUGCAGACAGAGGUGGAGGAGUGGGAUGCCGCCCUGAAGAGUGACCCGGCCUCUCGGCGACCCAGGACGCUAAGGCUGGAGGAGAUCGACCUCCCCUACCUGGAGGUAACAUACAGCGGCGGCACGGUGUGCGACCUGACGGGCCGCCCGCGCCAGACGCUGGUGCGGUACGUCUGCCACGCGGCCGGCCGGCACGAGGUGGUCUCCUUCCAGGAGACGUCCUCCUGCCAGUACGUCAUCGUGGUGCUGUCACCGCUGCUCUGCGCCCACCCAGACUACAGGGUGACGGCGGACGUGGAGCACCUGAUCCACUGUAUCGCCCUGUCCAACUCGCCCAAGCGGCCGCGCUCGCUGCUGGAGCUGGAGGCGCAGAGUCUGGCGCUGCGGCACGGUCUGCGGCCGGUGGACGGCGCGCCGGCCGCCGCCCCCGCCGCCGCCCCCGCCCCCGCCGAGGACGGGCCCGACCCGGAUACGACGCCUGCGGACGCCGAGCCGCCGCCGAUCACCACCGCCCGGCCGCUGGCCGUCUACGACGAGAAACUGGUCGAGGACUUCCUGGCCGGCCGGCACUGCCUCAACGGGGGCACCGGCUGGUGGCGCUACGAGUUCUGCCACGGCAAACGGGUCGACCAGUACCACGUGAACCGAGACGGCACGCGAACGGUCAUCCACCUGGGCUUCUUCAGCCGCGACGUGCACCGCGAGUGGCUGACGCACAACCCGCAGAAACGUCCGCGGCCGGCCGCCGGACGGCGACACGUCUCCCACUUCUACUCGGGCGGGUCCAUGUGUGACGAGAUCUCGGCGCCGCGCUCGGUCGAGGUGAAGCUCAAGUGUAAGCAGUCCGAGUCGCCGAACGCUGUAUCGCUGUACCUGCUGGAGCCGCGGCCGUGCCAGUACAUCCUGGGCGUGGAGUCGCCCAUCGUCUGCCGGCUGGUGGAGCAGGCCGACGACGACGGACUCAUAGACGAGUAGUGGCGGCGGACUCAUAGACGAGUAGUGGCGGUGGACUCAUAGACGAGUAGUGGCGGUGGACUCAUAGACGAGUAGUGGCGGCGGACUCAUAGACGAGUGAUAUCGGGGACCGAGUGAUAGGUAGGCGGUUGAAGCCCCGAGUCGAGAGACAGAGACCGGGCCGGGGUCGGCCAACAACAGCCUAUAAUGAGUUGGUAGCACUCGGGACAGCGAGAUAGGAUCAGGCUGACUCCAAACUACACGGGAUGGGACGACUCAGCUCCAGACUGACAGACGUCACAGCGUGCAGUGUGGUGCAGUGAGCUUAGCUGGGGCGGCUGACGGACCGUGUGGCGGCAGUGACUUCUGAAUUAUAGCUGAACUUUACGACGGUGGAACUCCGGCCUCAGUUGGAGCUCGAGUGGAGACUGAUCUAGUCUGGUUCGGUCUGCCUGGCUGGACGGCCGGGAGUCUCAGUCCAUCAACCUCUGCCUCCGAGACUGCCAGCGGCGGGAAGAUCUACCUGUUCUCAGACUGGUAGUGGCUCCAGUUAGCCGUAUCUACCGUGGCUGGCGCUGUGACUCCUGAGUCCUGAUCAUCGCACCUGUCGACCUCAUAGUCGAGGGGAGGCGCGCUAUCACGAGUGAUUUUGUCUGGGGUUGGGGCCCGGUCACUGAAUUUUAUUGUCCAUCGAUUGCCAGAGAUUCGGCAAUACCACGGGGUGAUGGCUCACAGCGUGAUUAUAUGGUUAUCGUGAACCCCGCGUGCCGAGUGGCUCCUUGUUGAUAUUGUUACAGCCUCGUUUGUGAGUGAUGGGUGUUUAUUGGUUUGUGUGUGGGACUGUGGGUGUUGCCGUCAUUUUGUUUGUGUGUGUGUGGGGGGGGGGGGGGGGGGGGGGUUGCAGUGAUGUGGAAUCCCAUGGUGUAAUUUUAUUCCAAUCACUGGUCUCGAACCCUCCUGCUGACAUCCUAUGUGACCAAGACCUCUUAAAUUAUUUUUGUUGUAGGAAUGUUGGUCAACUGUCAUUGUACUGUAUCAUAAUAAAACCGGUAUAUUCAACUCAACUGUGCAA
rnacentral:misc_RNA from 1 species